GUAGAUAGCACCAAUCAUUCAACAGUAAAUGAAUCUCAUAUUACUGUACAAAAUGCAAAAUGAUUUUUUUUUUUUUUUUGGUCUUCUUUAUUUCCAUCACACUUCACCUCUUCUUUACGCAACCAUCCAUAUCAAUCAUUUUUUUCUGUCUUUCUCCAUUUCUCAAAGCAACCUCUCAUGCUUCUUUCCUUCAUUCUCCCAUUUCUUCUUUUCUUUUCUUUUGUUUCGUUUUCCAAAUAUUUUGUCUAUAUGGUGUUAAUUUCAUCUUCUCAGUGCUUAAAAUUCUAAAGUACAUUCUAGAAGUUCUAACCCUCUAUUUUAUUUUUCUUUUAUAGAGACUUGAAGCUUCCAUCAAAGAACAAUCGAAAGAAUUAUUGAAACAAGGUCUUUUGUAAGCAUAUAUAGAUUUUUGUUAUGAAUUGAAUGUAUGUUGGUUUGAUUUUACUGUGUGGUUUUACUUCGAUUUUUUUAGAAGGGUAUUAUCAUUCCGUUUUAAUUGUUCCCAAAUGAUUAAGAAUUUUAUUUUAUUUUACGAGGCAAGCCAGAAAUUAUGGCAAAAGAUGAAGUGGUUCUAAUGAAUCACUUGGGUUAGAAAAAGCCCACGUCUUCAGUCAUUCAAGUUUGGUGAGUUCUGAUCUUGAAUUUUUAAUGAUAUUUCAUUUUUUGAUUUUCAUUUCUGUUGUUGAAAGAUAAAUAGCGUAGAUUUCUUAUUUGUCUGUGAUUAUAUAGCUGUUUUAGCUCAUUCAUGUUAUCUCUUCAAGUUGGUUAGGCAAAUAAGGUGAAGAAAACCAGAGAAUAAAAAAAAAUGAUUUUGGUUUUUCCAUAUUCUUGAAGCAGCCAAUUAUUUGAGUAUGUAUGCAAAUGUAUUUUAGUCGAUUGUUUACUAUUAUUUUAUUAUUAUCGUAUGCCAUAAUGUGGAGAAAGUAUAAAUUUAAAGAAGAGAAAAAACAACAACAUUUGCUCCGCACAAAAUGUGCGGAGUUGCUCCACAGUAUUUUUUUUUUAGCAAUUUUUUUAAAAGUAGAAAUAAGAGAUUUUCUAUUAAGUGAUCAUCAAAUUUGUUGAAUCCUAGAAAUUAGAUUUCUCUUUAAUUUCCUAAUUUUAUGAAAUUUUUAAAUUAAGUUGUUUACGAAUGUUUU
rnacentral:lncRNA from 1 species